rnacentral:lncRNA from 1 species
UUCACUUCCAAAAAUCUAAACAACUAGAAAUUUAUACAUACAUGGAGGUGCAUGGUUGAUUCAAACCAUUUUCAAGACUUGAAGAUACACUAGAAACACUUUGGUAGCACUAGGAGUUCUUGAAUCAUCAACAUUUUCAUAUCAUCAUCUUUAUUUUACUAGCAAAAUUAUGGUUUUGAUGAACUCAUUGGUGUAACAAAAUGUGAAAGCCAAAUAGAAGCCAGU